rnacentral:rRNA from 1 species
CAGUAGCCGCGGUAAUACGAAGGGGGCUAGCGUUGUUCGGAAUUACUGGGCGUAAAGCGCACGUAGGCGGAUAUUUAAGUCAGGGGUGAAAUCCCAGAGCUCAACUCUGGAACUGCCUUUGAUACUGGGUAUCUUGAGUAUGGAAGAGGUUAGUGGAAUUGCGAGUGUAGAGGUGAAAUUCGUAGAUAUUCGCAGGAACACCAGUGGCGAAGGCGGCUAACUGGUCCAUAACUGACGCUGAGGUGCGAAAGCGUGGGGAGCAAACAGGAUUAGAUACCCGAGUAGUCCCUGUCUCUUAUAC